rnacentral:rRNA from 1 species
UCUACUUUUGGACAGCCUUCUGAAAGGAAGAUUAAUACAAGAUGGCAUCAUGAGUUCACAUGUUCACAUGAUUAAAGGUAUUCCGGUAGACGAUGGGGAUGCGUUCCAUUAGAUAGUAGGCGGGGUAACGGCCCACCUAGUCUUCGAUGGAUAGGGGUUCUGAGAGGAAGGUCCCCCACAUUGGAACUGAGACACGGUCCAAACUCCUACGGGAGGCAGCAGUGAGGAAUAUUGGUCAAUGGGCGAGAGCCUGAACCAGCCAAGUAGCGUGAAGGAUGACUGCCCUAUGGGUUGUAAACUUCUUUUAUAAAGGAAUAAAGUCGGGUAUGCAUACCCGUUUGCAUGUACUUUAUGAAUAAGGAUCGGCUAACUCCGUGCCAGCAGCCGCGGUAAUACGGAGGAUCCGAGCGUUAUCCGGAUUUAUUGGGUUUAAAGGGAGCGUAGAUGGAUGUUUAAGUCAGUUGUGAAAGUUUGCGGCUCAACCGUAAAAUUGCAGUUGAUACUGGAUAUCUUGAGUGCAGUUGAGGCAGGCGGAAUUCGUGGUGUAGCGGUGAAAUGCUUAGAUAUCACGAAGAACUCCGAUUGCGAAGGCAGCCUGCUAAGCUGCAACUGACAUUGAGGCUCGAAAGUGUGGGUAUCAAACAGGAUUAGAUACCCUGGUAGUCCACACGGUAAACGAUGAAUACUCGCUGUUUGCGAUAUACAGCAAGCGGCCAAGCGAAAGCGUUAAGUAUUCCACCUGGGGAGUACGCCGGCAACGGUGAAACUCAAAGGAAUUGACGGGGGCCCGCACAAGCGGAGGAACAUGUGGUUUAAUUCGAUGAUACGCGAGGAACCUUACCCGGGCUUAAAUUGCAGAUGAAUUACGGUGAAAGCCGUAAGCCGCAAGGCAUCUGUGAAGGUGCUGCAUGGUUGUCGUCAGCUCGUGCCGUGAGGUGUCGGCUUAAGUGCCAUAACGAGCGCAACCCUUGUUGUCAGUUACUAACAGGUUCUGCUGAGGACUCUGACAAGACUGCCAUCGUAAGAUGUGAGGAAGGUGGGGAUGACGUCAAAUCAGCACGGCCCUUACGUCCGGGGCUACACACGUGUUACAAUGGGGGGUACAGAGGGCCGCUACCACGCGAGUGGAUGCCAAUCCCCAAAACCUCUCUCAGUUCGGACUGGAGUCUGCAACCCGACUCCACGAAGCUGGAUUCGCUAGUAAUCGCGCAUCAGCCACGGCGCGGUGAAUACGUUCCCGGGCCUUGUACACACCGCCCGUA